AGUGAACGCUGGCGGUAGGCCUAACACAUGCAAGUCGAACGGCAGCACAGUAAGAGCUUGCUCUUACGGGUGGCGAGUGGCGGACGGGUGAGGAAUACAUCGGAAUCUACUUUUUCGUGGGGGAUAACGUAGGGAAACUUACGCUAAUACCGCAUACGACCUACGGGUGAAAGCAGGGGAUCUUCGGACCUUGCGCGAAUGAAUGAGCCGAUGUCGGAUUAGCUAGUUGGCGGGGUAAAGGCCCACCAAGGCGACGAUCCGUAGCUGGACUGAGAGGAUGAUCAGCCACACUGGAACUGAGACACGGUCCAGACUCCUACGGGAGGCAGCAGUGGGGAAUAUUGGACAAUGGGCGCAAGCCUGAUCCAGCCAUACCGCGUGGGUGAAGAAGGCCUUCGGGUUGUAAAGCCCUUUUGUUGGGAAAGAAAAGCAGCAGGUUAAUACCCCGCUGUUCUGACGGUACCCAAAGAAUGAGCACCGGCUAACUUCGUG
rnacentral:rRNA from 1 species